CAGUACAGAGAAGAUGAGCAUGGCCCUUGGAUAAGGAUGACAUACAGCUUCAUGAAGCAUUCCGUAUUUUC
ensembl:snRNA U6 U6 spliceosomal RNA